AGCAGCCGCGGUAAUUCCAGCUCCAAUAGCGUAUAUUAAAGUUGUUGCAGUUAAAAAGCUCGUAGUUGAAUUUCGGGAUCAAUGCGUCGGUCGUGCUUUCGGGUACGUACUGGUGUCAUUGGUUUCUCCUUUCUGACGAGCCGUGAUGUCAUUAAUUUGGUGUUACGGGUAGUUAGGACUGUUACUUUGAAAAAAUUAGAGUGUUUAAAGCAGGCAUUAGCUUGAAUACAUUAGCAUGGAAUAAUGAAAUAGGACGUUUGAUCCUAUUUUGUUGGUUUCUAGGAUCGACGUAAUGAUUAAUAGGGAUAGUUGGGGGCAUUAGUAUUCAAUUGUCAGAGGCGAAAUUCUUGGAUUUAUUGAAGACUAACUACUGCGAAAGCAUUUGCCAAGGAUGUUUUCAUUAAUCAAGAACGAAAGUUAGGGGAUCGAAGACGAUCAGAUACCGUCGUAGUCUUAACCAUAAACUAUGCCGACUAGGGAUCGGAUGAUGUUAAUUUUUUAAUGACUCAUUCGGCGCCUU
rnacentral:misc_RNA from 1 species